rnacentral:rRNA from 1 species
GAUGAACGCUGGCGGCGUGCCUAAUACAUGCAAGUCGAGCGAACAGACGAGGAGCUUGCUCCUCUGACGUUAGCGGCGGACGGGUGAGUAACACGUGGAUAACCUACCUAUAAGACUGGGAUAACUUCGGGAAACCGGAGCUAAUACCGGAUAAUAUAUUGAACCGCAUGGUUCAAUAGUGAAAGACGGUUUUGCUGUCACUUAUAGAUGGAUCCGCGCCGCAUUAGCUAGUUGGUAAGGUAACGGCUUACCAAGGCAACGAUGCGUAGCCGACCUGAGAGGAUGAUCGGCCACACUGGAACUGAGACACGGUCCAGACUCCUACGGGAGGCAGCAGUAGGGAAUCUUCCGCAAUGGGCGAAAGCCUGACGGAGCAACGCCGCGUGAGUGAUGAAGGUCCUCGGAUCGUAAAACUCUGUUAUUAGGGAAGAAAAAAUGUGUAAGUAACUAUGCACGUCUUGACGGUACCUAAUCAGAAAGCCACGGCUAACUACGUG